rnacentral:rRNA from 1 species
AGCAGCCGCGGUAAUUCCAGCUCCAAUAGCGUAUAUUAAAGUUGUUGCAGUUAAAAAGCUCGUAGUUGAAUUUCGGAAUUUGUCGGUUGGUCGGGCUUCACUGUCCGCACUGGCCUGAUGGAUUCCUACCUUCUGAAUAACCAGCAUGCUAUUAAUUUAGUGCGUUGGGGAAGCAGAGCUAUUACCUUGAAAAAUUAGAGUGCUUAAAGCAGGCUCACGCUUGAAUAGAUUAGCAUGGAAUAAUAAAAUAGGACGGCUUGGUUCUAUUUUGUUGGUUUCUAGGAUCACCGUAAUGAUUAAUAGGGAUAGUUGGGGGCAUUAGUAUUCAAUUGUCAGAGGUGAAAUUCUUGGAUUUAUUGAAGACUAACUUCUGCGAAAGCAUUUGCCAAGGAUGUUUUCAUUAAUCAAGAACGAAAGUUAGGGGAUCGAAGACGAUCAGAUACCGUCGUAGUCUUAACCAUAAACUAUGCCGACUAGGGAUCG